UUUAUUUUAUAUAAAAUAUUUAUAUAUAUUUGAUUUAUUUAUUUAUUAAGUUUUUAGUAUUAAUUAGGGAUAAUUACUUUAUUUAUUAAUAUCUGAAAAGGUAUAUACAUUUAAAAUAUUUAGGAAUAUUAAUUUUACCUUUUGUAUCAGGGUAAUCUAAUUAAUUUAUUUAAUAUUAUUUUCCCGAAGUUAAGAUUUCAAUUUUAAUUUAAUUUUAAUUGUUUUAUUAAUUUAUUUAAAAUUAAAAAAGUAAUUAUAUUUUAUCGCUCUUAAUUAUAUCUGGUUAUUAAGUAUUUAAUUAAAUUAAAGAUUUUUGGUUAAAAUUAAUUCAAUUUAUUAAAAUCAAAUUAUAUUAGGGAAAAUCUUAAUAUAUAUUUAUAUAAUUUUUAUUAUUUAAAAUUUAAUAUUUUUAAUAUCUAAAAUUAAGUUCUUAAUAGAUUAAUUUUAUUUCAUUUGAUUAAUUUUUGAUUUAAAUUUUUACUUAAUUUUUUUAUGGAACAUAUUUAUUUAAUUAAUUAUGGUUUAAUUAGUAUAAUUUUAUAAUUUAAUAAUAAUGAAUUAGACAAAUUUAUUUUCCAACUGUUUAACAAAAACAUUUCUUUUUGUAAAAUAUAAAAAGUAAUUCCUGCCCUAUGUGAAUUAUAAAUGGCUGCAGUAUUCUGACUGUGCAAAGGUAGCAUAAUAAUUAGUUUCUUAAUUAGAAGCUGGAAUGAAUGGAUUAUUGAGAAAGUUAUUUUAUUUUUAUAAAUAUUAUAAUUUAAUAUUUAAGUUAAAACGCUUAGUUAUUUUCCUGGGACGAAAAGACCCUAUAGAACUUUAUUAGUAAAAGUUUAUAUAUAUAUAUUGGUAGAUUAAAUUUAUAUAUAUAUUUUUUAGUUUUGCUGGGGUAGUAAAUAAAUAUAAAAUUUUAUUUAUUUAAAUCAUUAAUUUAUGUUUUUUAGAUCUUAAAGUUUUUAGAUAAAAAGAUUAAGUUACCUUAGGGAUAACAGCGUAAUUUCAAUGGGGAGUUCAUAUUUAUAUUGAAGUUUGCGACCUCGAUGUUGAAUUAAGAUAAUUUAAGGGGGUAGGUUUCUUUAUUAUAAGUCUGUUCGACUUUUAAAUUCUUACAUGAUUUGAGUUCAAACCGGCGUGAGCCAGGUUGGAUUCUAUCUUGGAAAUUUUUUAUAAAUUUAGUACGAAAGGACCAAUUUAUAUUAAUUUAAAUAAUUUUUAUUGAAUAAUAUU
rnacentral:rRNA from 1 species